GGGCUCUUAGCUCAGUUGGUAGAGCGCUUCGUUUACACCGAAGACGUCGGCGGUUCGAGUCCGUCAGGGCCCACCC
rnacentral:tRNA from 1 species